rnacentral:rRNA from 1 species
GACAGAGGGUGCAAACGUUGUUCGGAAUUACUGGGCGUAAAGCGUGUGUAGGCGGCCUUACAAGUCAGGUGUGAAAGCCCCGGGCUCAACCCGGGAAGUGCACUUGAUACUGUUUGGCUUGAGUACUGGAGAGGUUGGUGGAAUUCUCGGUGUAGAGGUGAAAUUCGUAGAUAUCAGGAAGAACACCCGUGGCGAAGGCGGUUCUCUGGGACGGUACUGACGCUGAGACGCGAAAGCGUGGGGAGCGAACAGG